rnacentral:rRNA from 1 species
UGACUUUGAUCAUGGCUCAGGAUGAACGCUGGCGGCGUGCCUAAUACAUGCAAGUCGAACGAAACUUCUUUAUCACCGAGUGCUUGCACUCACCGAUGAAGAGUUGAGUGGCGAACGGGUGAGUAACACGUGGGCAACCUGCCCGAAAGAGGGGGAUAACACUUGGAAACAGGUGCUAAUACCGCAUAACCAUGAACACCGCAUGGUGUUUAUGUGAAAGGUGGUUUCGGCUACCGCUUUCGGAUGGGCCCGCGGCGCAUUAGCUAGUUGGUGGGGUAAAGGCUUACCAAGGCAAUGAUGCGUAGCCGAACUGAGAGGUUGAUCGGCCACAUUGGGACUGAGACACGGCCCAAACUCCUACGGGAGGCAGCAGUAGGGAAUCUUCCACAAUGGGCGAAAGCCUGAUGGAGCAACGCCGCGUGGGUGAAGAAGGUCUUCGGAUCGUAAAACCCUGUUGUCAGAGAAGAAAGUGCAUGAGAGUAACUGUUCAUGUUUCGACGGUAUCUGACCAGAAAGCCACGGCUAACUACGUGCCAGCAGCCGCGGUAAUACGUAGGUGGCAAGCGUUAUCCGGAUUUAUUGGGCGUAAAGGGAACGCAGGCGGUCUUUUAAGUCUGAUGUGAAAGCCUUCGGCUUAACCGGAGUAGUGCAUUGGAAACUGGGAGACUUGAGUGCAGAAGAGGAGAGUGGAACUCCAUGUGUAGCGGUGAAAUGCGUAGAUAUAUGGAAGAACACCAGUGGCGAAAGCGGCUCUCUGGUCUGUAACUGACGCUGAGGUUCGAAAGCGUGGGUAGCAAACAGGAUUAGAUACCCUGGUAGUCCACGCCGUAAACGAUGAAUGCUAAGUGUUGGAGGGUUUCCGCCCUUCAGUGCUGCAGUUAACACAAUAAGCAUUCCGCCUGGGGAGUACGACCGCAAGGUUGCAACUCAAAGGAAUUGACGGA